AACGAACGCUGGCGGCAUGCCUAACACAUGCAAGUCGAACGAGACCUUCGGGUCUAGUGGCGCACGGGUGCGUAACGCGUGGGAACCUGCCCUUAGGUUCGGAAUAACUCCCCGAAAGGGGUGCUAAUACCGGAUAAUGUCUUCGGACCAAAGAUUUAUCGCCUUUGGAUGGGCCCGCGUUGGAUUAGCUAGUUGGUAGGGUAAAAGCCUACCAAGGCGACGAUCCAUAGCUGGUCUGAGAGGAUGAUCAGCCACACUGGGACUGAGACACGGCCCAGACUCCUACGGGAAGCAGCAGUGGGGAACAUUGGACAAUGGGCGAAAGCCUGAUCCAGCAAUGCCGCGUGAGUGAUGAAGGCCUUAGGGUUGUAAAGCUCUUUUACCCGGGAUGAUAAUGACAGUACCGGGAGAAUAAGCUCCGGCUAACUCCGUG
rnacentral:rRNA from 1 species